rnacentral:lncRNA from 1 species
UAGGUAGUUUUCCCCUCACAGCAUAAACAAAGCCUCUGGAAGUUCAGACUGGGCAGAGCCCACCACAGUGCCUCAAAGCCAUGGUAGCCAGAUUGCCUCUGUAGAUUCCUCCUCUCUGGGCAGGGGAUCCCUGAAAGAAAGGCAGCAGCCCCAGUCAGGGGCUUAUAGAUAAAACUCUCAUCUCCCUGGGACAGAGCACAUGGGGGAAGUUAGAAUGAACUAGGUGUGUUUUAGGGACAAGGAACAU